UGCCGCGUGCGGGAUGACUCGCCUCCGGGUUGUAACCUGCUUUUAUCCGGAAAAAGGGAGCUCCUCGUGAGGACAGCUGAAUGUACCGGAACAAUAAGGAUCGGCUAGCUCCCUGCCGCCGUCCGCGGUAAGACGGAGGAUCCGAGCGGAAUCCGGAUUUAUUGGGAUUAAAGGGGGCGUAUGCCGCCUGUGCAGUCAAGGCUGAAAGAUCGUCCCCCAGCUAGCGCAGGGCCCUGGAAAACGAUGGGGUGGAAUGGAAGAUAGGAAUGCCGAAUGAAACAAGUAGCGGUGAAAAGCAUAGAUAUGUCACAGAUCACCGAUUGCGAUGGCAGCUUACUAUGGUCUUAUUGACGCUGAGGCACUAAAGCGUGGGGAUCAUACAGGAUUAUAUACCCUGGUAGUCCACGCCCUAAACGAUGAACACUCGCUGUUGGCGAUACACAGUCAGCGGCUAAUCGAAAGCGUUAAGUGUUCCACCUGGGGAGUACGCCCGCAAGGGUGAAACUCAAAGGAAUUGACGGGGGGCCCGCACAAGCGGAGGAGCAACGUGGUUUAAUUCGAUGAUACGCGAGGAACCUUACCCGGGCUUGAAAGUUAGUGAAUGAUCCAGAGAUGGGAUCA
rnacentral:rRNA from 1 species